UACGGGGGGGGCAAGCGUUGUUCGGAAUUACUGGGCGUAAAGGGCGCGUAGGCGGCUCAAUCAGUCGGGCGUGAAAGCUCUGGGCUUAACCCAGAAAGGUCGUUCGAUACUGUUGGGCUAGAGUGUGGAAGAGGCUACUGGAAUUCCAGGUGUAGCGGUGAAAUGCGUAGAUAUCUGGAGGAACACCGGUGGCGAAGGCGGCAUCCUGGACCGACACUGACGCUGAGGAGCGAAAGCCAGGGGAGCAAACGGG
rnacentral:rRNA from 1 species